GCAGCCUGAUGCAGCGACGCCGCGUGAGGGAUGACGGCCUUCGGGUUGUAAACCUCUUUCAGUAGGGAAGAAGCGAAAGUGACGGUACCUGCAGAAGAAGCGCCGGCUAACUACGUGCCAGCAGCCGCGGUAAUACGUAGGGCGCAAGCGUUAUCCGGAAUUAUUGGGCGUAAAGAGCUCGUAGGCGGUUUGUCGCGUCUGCCGUGAAAGUCCGGGGCUCAACUCCGGAUCUGCGGUGGGUACGGGCAGACUAGAGUGAUGUAGGGGAGACUGGAAUUCCUGGUGUAGCGGUGAAAUGCGCAGAUAUCAGGAGGAACACCGAUGGCGAAGGCAGGUCUCUGGGCAUUAACUGACGCUGAGGAGCGAAAGCAUGGGGAGCGAACAGGAUUAGAUACCCUGGUAGUCCAUGCCGUAAACGUUGGGCACUAGGUGUGGGGGACAUUCCACGUUUUCCGCGCCGUAGCUAACGCAUUAAGUGCCCCGCCUGGGGAGUACGGCCGCAAGGCUAAAACUCAAAGGAAUUGACGGGGGCCCGCACAAGCGGCGGAGCAUGCGGAUUAAUUCGAUGCAACGCGAAGAACCUUACCAAGGCUUGACAUGAACCGGAAAGACCUGGAAACAGGUUCCCCACUUGUG
rnacentral:rRNA from 1 species